GUAUUUUCUUAUCUGAAAGAGAGGUGAAAUGGUCAGAGAUAUCGGGUCACUGAUUUUUGCAAAGUCACCACAAAUAAAUAACUUCAAGUUUCAAUAUUUAUAAAUAAUGCAUAUGAAAAGCCAAGAAAAGUCCUUCGAAGGCAUUUGCUGCGUUUUCUAUUUGAUUACUUUUUGUACUGAGAAAUAUUAUGAAACUUAUACCUCUGAUACUCUCACGUGUUUUGCCCAGUUCGUGGCUUUGUUUAAAGUUUAAAGUGCCACGAUAUUGACUUAGUUUUCUUACCUUUCUGGUAUUUCUAAUUUGGUUUAAAGAACCAUUACUGAUGAAAAUAAAUUAACAGGAUGUCAAAACAUUUCCUUGAAGUCAAAGGCAUUUGUAAAUCUUUAAGAGGUUGAUGUUGUCUCGAAACACGGUUAUACGGCUUUUUUAUGCUCAACAUGUAAUUUAUUUAAUUACAUGGAUGAGUUAUUUCUGUGAAGUUUAGAAGAGGGAGAGAGAAAUAAUAAUACGACAAUUAGUGAAAUUUAUUUGAAUUCUUUUCAAGGAUGAGGGUGUAGAAAAAGCUCUAUAUAGAACAUUUUUAUGCUGUUUCAGAGGAGCUAUUUGAUGAAAUAUUUCCCUUAAAAAGUUUUAGGCAAUAUUUCAAAUGUUUUUCAUGAGGAAUUGUACCCAUUUAUACUCGAAGAAUACUCAGGAUUGGACUUUUUUUUAAUAAAAAGCAACUGAAAAUUCAAUCGAUUAACAUUGCGAGGAACGCAUGGAAAGUAUAGUGUUGUUAAAAAUUUCAAUAUUCGCCGCCACUGUUCCCAUUUUCGCCGGAACUGUUUCUAAUUGGGAUUUCUAGACUUGACUUAAGUCUUUGGGCUACAUGUAUGCCAAAUGAGGGGUCUCGGUAGCUCAAUAGGCAAAGUGUUGGCUUUGUGACGCAGAGGCCCUCGGUUCGAUCCUUGAUCGAAGCGCGUCCGGUGAAUAAUUGGAAAACAGUUUUUCACCGUCCUUGAAAGCUACAAACUGAACGCAAAAAAUAUCAAGAAGGAAGUAUGAUAAAAGAUAAGGGAGCAAAAAAGGAUUUGUGAUGGAGCAAAAAGAAAAAUGAUAAGGAGAGAUGAGAGGAACAAACAUAUGGGAAAAAAAGAAAAACAGAUGGAACUCGUAUGUAAAUAAGAGUGAGCGAAAUGGCUAUAUGGACCUGAUUGAGUCUGACAGCCAAAAAACAUAAAAAAGAAGAGAGAGAGAGAG